GUUACCGCCUCGGCCCCCUCCCCCUUCCGGGUACCUGGAAACCUCGGGCCCGGGAGCCAAUUCCUGCCGGGGACUUGGGCCCGGGCGGCCGCGGGAAAGCCAAGGAUACUGCAUUAUAUUUAGUGUUCAUGUCUCCUUAGGCUCCUCUUGGCCAUGAUAUUUCUCAUACUUUCCCGGUUUUUGCUGGCCCCCAUGGUUUUGAGGAAUAACUGAGACAUGUCUAACAAGAUGAUGCUACAGCCGAUGUCACAAAGAUUACUGCCUGUGUUCUUCUCUAG